rnacentral:tRNA from 1 species
GAUAGGGUGGCUGAAUAUAGGCUAUAAAUUGUAAAUUUAUAAAUGGUGUAAACCUCUUAUCA